rnacentral:tRNA from 1 species
GGGGUUGUAGCUCAGUGGCAGAGUGCUUGCCUAGCAUGCAUGAGGCACUGGGUUUGAUCCUCAGCACCA